rnacentral:rRNA from 1 species
UACGGGGGUGGCGAGCGUUACUCGGAUUUAUUGGGUGUAAAGGGCAGGUAGGCGGCUAUGUAAGUCGAUGGUGAAAUCCUGGAGCUUAACUCCAGAACUGCCUUCGAAACUGCAUGGCUUGAGGCCAGAAGAGGAGAACGGAAUUCCCGGUGUAAGGGUGAAAUCUGUAGAGAUCGGGAGGAACACCAGUAGCGAAAGCGGUUCUCUGGUCUGGCCCUGACGCUAAGCUGCGAAAGCUAGGGGAG